AGAGCGAACGCUGGCGGCAGGCCUAAUACAUGCAAGUCGAACGCACCUUCGGGUGAGUGGCGGACGGGUGAGUAACACGUGGGAACGUGCCUUUUGGUUCGGAAUAAUCCGGGGAAACCUGGCCUAAUACCGGAUGUGCCCUUCGGGGGAAAGAUUUAUCGCCAUUAGAGCGGCCCGCGUCUGAUUAGCUUGUUGGUGGGGUAAUGGCCCACCAAGGCUACGAUCAGUAGCUGGUCUGAGAGGAUGAUCAGCCACACUGGGACUGAGACACGGCCCAGACUCCUACGGGAGGCAGCAGUAGGGAAUCUUGCGCAAUGGGCGAAAGCCUGACGCAGCCAUGCCGCGUGAAUGAUGAAGGUCUUAGGAUUGUAAAAUUCUUUCAGCGGGAAGAUAAUGACUGUACCGCAGAAGAAGCUCGGCUAACUCGUGCCAGCAGCCGC
rnacentral:rRNA from 1 species